UAAAAAUAAAUAAAUAAAUAAAGUCUCCACUACUUGCAUGAUUCAACUCCCACCAAAUCCACAAUAUCUACUUACUCCUAAUCCUUUUUUUUUUCAUAUUUCUCAACAGUUUUUGGGGAGAAAAAAGAGGACAAAGCACAGGAGUUCUAUAUUUUUCGAUCUUGCUUAGGCAGCUAACGUAACCAUCUAGGCCUUCUGCGUUGACUAUCUGCUACUAUUCUCUUCAACGGCUGUGAUUUAAAAUAAGAAAGAACUUUGAUGAGCCCCUGAAUGAGUUGACUUUUUAAGAUGAUUCCAGAACCCGAACGGCUGGUGCAUCAUUGAUGGAUUGGGAGUGAUUGUGAUCAUCUUCGUAUGUGAUAAUCAGCAUCAUAGGAUCAUCCAGAGCUCUCUCCACAUGUUUCCGAGCCGGGCAGCCUCUCAUGCUACUGCACUUGUAAUAUCCCCUAAAGUUGGAAAAAGCAGGCAAAGAUCAGUAUUCAAUUCUUGUGACUAGCCUUAGAGUUGAGUCAAUAAUCAGCCGGAAUCGACAAGGAGCCACAGGCUUAACAGAAACUAGACACACCUUGGAUGAGGAGACCCUUUGAUGGGCUUUUGACCAUACUUUCUCCAGGAAUAGUCAUCAGGCGGAAUAUCAGCCAUCCUGUUACUAAUUGCAGGGGCUCUAACCACUCUCUUCACUCUUGAUUUCCUUUUCUUGGAGCAAUGGCAUCGCCCUGAAGAGGAACCGCACUUUAGAGCAGCAUCGUCCAUGGAAUUGCACUUUCUUUUAAGGGAAGCUGAGGACAGAGGAGGUUUUCCAGCAGAUGAGACAUGUAAGGGUUGGGCAAAUUGAAACCCAGAGGACAUGGAGCGCUGUACACUAUCGGUUUCCCCUGUUAAGGAAGACAUGAAAGAAGUAGAGGCAGAGAUUGAAGGUGAAUUAGAGAAAUUAGUAGAAGAAGGCAUCUCGUUCCUCUCUGAAAACCCAUUCUUUGUAACUAAAAGAUGACUCUUUUGCUGGUGGUGGUGACCAUUAGGCAAGGGGGGGAGCCGAUGAACCGGAGUCGGAUGGUAAACUCUAAAGGCAGAGACUUGCUCUGUUGUCUGAGAACUGAUAGGUCGAAGAGAAGGCCCUGGAUCUUGAACUUGUUGCUGCUGCUCUUGUGGUUGUGGUUGCUUCUGCUGUUCUUGAGUAACAGAAGCCGUAGAAACAGGGGCUCUACGAAAGCGAGCAUGGCCGGUUCUCGUGGUGCGACCAAGCAAAGAAAUAACCUUCUUGAAACUGUUCACAGCCGCAUCUGUAACAGCCAUAAUAUUAUCCGACCCUGGAGGACUAUUACCCGCUGAAGAAGAAAACUCAGGGUAGUAUUGUUGCUGCUGCAGCUGAUUUCUUUUGAGCAGCUUAAUGACCUCCUCAACGUUCUGGAUCCCAGCAGUAGCCGCUUCUCUCACAGCAUUCUCUUGCAUCUUGGCUGGAAAACUAUCACCAGAAAAGCCCAUCAUGAGUUCCACAGCCAUCUCUUCACCACUAUCCAAGAUGUGUAACCCCACAGAUGAGUAGAAGAGAGAGAGCCAGAGAGGCGUAGAGAUAUAAAGGCCUAAUAGAAUAGAUUCAAGAGAGCUUGAAAUAAAAGAAAAUGGUGGGGGAAAAUAAAAUAGGAGCAAAAGAGGGAUGCGAAAGAUGACAAUUACAAACAAAAAAAAAAAUGAGGGCACAGAGAGGAUUCGAGUCAAACUGAUGCCCUCUCAAGUCUCAAUGCAAAGCCAUAGGGUUCCUG
rnacentral:misc_RNA from 1 species